UGGGGAAUAUUGCACAAUGGGGGAAACCCUGAUGCAGCGACGCCGCGUGGGUGAAGAAGUAUUUCGGUAUGUAAAGCCCUAUCAGCAGGGAAGAAAGAAGACGGUACCUGACUAAGAAGCCCCGGCUAACUACGUGCC
rnacentral:rRNA from 1 species